AUGCACGCUGGCGGCGUGCCUAAUACAUGCCAGUCGAGCGAACAGACGAGGAGCUUGCUCCUCUGACGUUAGCGGCGGACGGGUGAGUAACACGUGGAUAACCUACCUAUAAGACUGGGAUAACUUCGGGAAACCGGAGCUAAUACCGGAUAAUAUAUUGAACCGCAUGGUUCAAUAGUGAAACACGGUUUUGCUGUCACUUAUAGAUGGAUCCGCGCCGCAUUAGCUAGUUGGUAAGGUAACGGCUUACCAAGGCAACGAUGCGUAGCCGACCUGAGAGGGUGAUCGGCCACACUGGAACUGAGACACGGUCCAGACUCCUACGGGAGGCAGCAGUAGGGAAUCUUCCGCAAUGGGCGAAAGCCUGACGGAGCAACGCCGCGUGAGUGAUGAAGGUCUUCGGAUCGUAAAACUCUGUUAUUAGGGAAGAACAAAUGUGUAAGUAACUAUGCACGUCUUGACGGUACCUAAUCAGAAAGCCACGGCUAACUACGUG
rnacentral:rRNA from 1 species